rnacentral:rRNA from 1 species
AGUAAAUAGAUACCCGGGUAGUCCACGCCGUAAACGAUGAGUGCCAGGUGUCGGGGACUUAGUCCUUCGGCGCCGCAGCUAAACGCCUUAAAGCACUCCGCCUGGGGAGUACGGCCGCAAGGUUAAACUCAAAGGAAUUGACGGGGCCCGCACAAGCGGUGGAGCAUGUGGUUUAAUUCGACGCAACGCGCAGAACCUUACCAGGCCUUGACAUCCCAUGACCGCCGGAGAGAUCCGGUUUCCCUUCGGGGACGUGGAGACAGGUGCUGCAUGGCUGUCGUCAGCUCGUGUCGUGAGAUGUUGGGUUAAGUCCCGCAACGAGCGCAACCCUCGCCUUCAGUUGCCAUCAUUUGGUUGGGCACUCUGGAGGGACUGCCGGUGACAAGCCGGAGGAAGGUGGGGAUGACGUCAAGUCCUCAUGGCCCUUACGGCCUGGGCUACACACGUGCUACAAUGGUGGUGACAGAGGGCAGCGAUCCCGCGAGGGGAGCAAAUCUCUAAAAAGCCAUCUCAGUUCAGAUCGCACUCUGC